UACGAAGGGUGCAAGCGUUAAUCGGAAUUACUGGGCGUAAAGAGCGCGCAGGCGGUCGUUCAAGUCGAGUGUGAAAGCCCCCGGCUCAACUGGGGAGGGGUCAUUCGAUACUGAUCGACUCGAAGGCAGGAGAGGGAAGCGGAAUUCCCGGUGUAGUGGUGAAAUGCGUAGAUAUCGGGAGGAACACCAGUGGCGAAGGCGGCUUCCUGGCCUGUUCUUGACGCUGAGGCGCG
rnacentral:rRNA from 1 species